AUUGAACGCUGGCGGCAUGCCUUACACAUGCAAGUCGAACGGCAGCACGGGAGCAAUCCUGGUGGCGAGUGGCGAACGGGUGAGUAAUAUAUCGGAACGUGCCCAGUCGUGGGGAUAACGUAGCGAAAGCUGCGCUAGUACCGCAUACGAUCUAUGGAUGAAAGCGGGGGAUCGCAAGACCUCGCGCGAUUGGAGCGGCCGAUAUCAGAUUAGGUAGUUGGUGAGGUAAAGGCUCACCAAGCCGACGAUCUGUAGCUGGUCUGAGAGGACGACCAGCCACACUGGGACUGAGACACGGCCCAGACUCCUACGGGAGGCAGCAGUGGGGAAUUUUGGACAAUGGGCGAAAGCCUGAUCCAGCAAUGCCGCGUGCAGGAUGAAGGCCUUCGG
rnacentral:rRNA from 1 species